rnacentral:tRNA from 1 species
UUUGGAGGUAGUAUAAAUAAGUAUUCCCGUCUUACACACGGGAGGUGUUGGAAUAUCGGCUCUCUGAAG